rnacentral:rRNA from 1 species
GAUCAUGGCUCAGGACGAACGCUGGCGGCGUGCCUAACACAUGCAAGUCGAACGGAACUGUUUUGAAAGAUUUCUUCGGAAUGAAUUUGAUUUAGUUUAGUGGCGGACGGGUGAGUAACGCGUGAGUAACCCGCCUUCAAGAGGGGGAUAACAUUCUGAAAAGAAUGCUAAUACCGCAUGACAUAUCGGAACCACAUGGUUUUGAUAUCAAAGAUUUUAUCGCUUGAAGAUGGACUCGCGUCCGAUUAG